rnacentral:rRNA from 1 species
AUGGGUAUCGAGCUUAAUCUCCCAACCCCUGUGACAUACCUUAAUGUUGCCUCGGCGGAUCAGCCCGCGCCCCGUAAAACGGGACGGCCCGCCAGAGGACCCAAACUCUAAUGUUUCUUAUUGUAACUUCUGAGUAAAACAAACAAAUAAAUCAAAACUUUCAACAACGGAUCUCUUGGUUCUGGCAUCGAUGAAGAACGCAGCAAAAUGCGAUAAGUAAUGUGAAUUGCAGAAUUCAGUGAAUCAUCGAAUCUUUGAACGCACAUUGCGCCCGCUGGUAUUCCGGCGGGCAUGCCUGUUCGAGCGUCAUUUCAACCCUCAAGCCCCCGGGUUUGGUGUUGGGGAUCGGCUCUGCCCUUCUGGGCGGUGCCGCCCCCGAAAUACAUUGGCGGUCUCGCUGCAGCCUCCAUUGCGUAGUAGCUAACACCUCGCAACUGGAACGCGGCGCGGCCAUGCCGUAAAACCCCAACUUCUGAAUGUUGACCUCGGAUCAGGUAGGAAUACCCGCUGAACUUAAGCAUAUCAAUAAAGCGGAGGAA